rnacentral:misc_RNA from 1 species
GAUGAAGAACGGUAGUGAAAUGCGAAAAGUAAUGUGAAUUGCAGAAUUCAGUGAAUCAUCGAGUCUUUGAACGCACAUUGCGCCCCCUGGCAUUCCGGGGGGCAUGCCUGUCCGAGCGUCAUUGCUGCCCUUCAAGCCCGGCUUGUGUGUUGGGUCGUCGUCCCCCCCGGGGGACGGGCCCGAAAGGCAGCGGCGGCACCGCGUCCGGUCCUCGAGCGUAUGGGGCUUUGUCACCCGCUCGAUUAGGGCCGGCCGGGCGCCAGCCGGCGUCUCCAACCUUCUAUUUUACCAGGUUGACCUCGGAUCAGGUAGGGAUACCCGCUGAACUUAAGCAUAUCAAUAAGCGGAGGA